CUACGGGUUGCAGCAGUGGGGAAUAUUGCACAAUGGGCGCAAGCCUGAUGCAGCCAUGCCGCGUGUAUGAAGAAGGCCUUCGGGUUGUAAAGUACUUUCAGCGGGGAGGAAGGGAGUAAAGUUAAUACCUUUGCUCAUUGACGUUACCCGCAGAAGAAGCACCGGCUAACUCCGUGCCAGCAGCCGCGGUAAUACGGAGGGUGCAAGCGGUAAUCGGAAUUACUGGGCGUAAAGCGCACGCAGGCGGUUUGUUAAGUCAGAUGUGAAAUCCCCGGGCUCAACCUGGGAACUGCAUCUGAUACUGGCAAGCUUGGGUCUCGUAGAGGGGGGUAGAAUUCCAGGUGUAGCGGUGAAAUGCGUAGAGAUCUGGAGGAAUACCGGUGGCGAAGGCGGCCCCCUGGACGAAGACUGACGCUCAGGUGCGAAAGCGUGGGGAGCAAACAGGAUUAGAUACCCCAGUAGUC
rnacentral:rRNA from 1 species